GAUGAACGCUGGCGGCGUGCCUAAUACAUGCAAGUCGAGCGAACAGACGAGGAGCUUGCUCCUCUGACGUUAGCGGCGGACGGGUGAGUAACACGUGGAUAACCUACCUAUAAGACUGGGAUAACUUCGGGAAACCGGAGCUAAUACCGGAUAACAUGUUGAACCGCAUGGUUCAACAGUGAAAGACGGUCUUGCUGUCACUUAUAGAUGUAUCCGCGCCGCAUUAGCUAGUUGGUAAGGUAACGGCUUACCAAGGCAACGAUGCGUAGCCGACCUGAGAGGGUGAUCGGCCACACUGGAACUGAGACACGGUCCAGACUCCUACGGGAGGCAGCAGUAGGGAAUCUUGCGCAAUGGGCGAAAGCCUGACGGAGCAAUGCCGCGUGAGUGAAGAAGGUCUUCGGAUCGUAAAACUCUUUUAUUAGGGAAGAACAAAUGUGUAAGUAACUAUGCACGUCUUGACGGUACCUAAUCAGAAAGCCACGGCUAACUACGUG
rnacentral:rRNA from 1 species